rnacentral:rRNA from 1 species
GACGAACGCUGGCGGCGUGCUUAACACAUGCAAGUCGAACGGAAAGGCCCUGCUUUUGUGGGGUGCUCGAGUGGCGAACGGGUGAGUAACACGUGAGUAACCUGCACUUGACUUUGGGAUAACUUCAGGAAACUGGGGCUAAUACCGGAUAGGAGCUCCUGCUGCAUGGUGGGGGUUGGAAAGUUUCGGCGGUUGGGGAUGGACUCGCGGCUUAUCAGCUUGUUGGUGGGGUAGUGGCUUACCAAGGCUUUGACGGGUAGCCGGCCUGGGAGGGUGACCGGCCACAUUGCGCCUGAGAUACGGCCCAGACUCCUACGGGAGGCAGCAGUGGGGAAUAUUGCACAAUGGGCGGAAGCCUGAUGCAGCAACGCCGCGUGCGGGAUGACGGCCUUCGGGUUGUAAACCGCUUUCGCCUGUGACGAAGCGUGAGUGACGGUAAUGGGUAAAGAAGCACCGGCUAACUACGUG